ensembl:snoRNA SNORD79 Small nucleolar RNA SNORD79
UACUGUUCAUGAUGAUUAUUAGUUCUAAGCAAUGGGAAUCUCUCUGAAAGAGACUGAGGAGGACUCUUGAUCUGAAACAGUA